rnacentral:rRNA from 1 species
AAAACGAUAGUGCCAUACGAUGGCCCCGCGUCUGAUUAGCUAGUUGGCGGAGUAACGGCCCACCAAGGCGACGAUCAGUAGCCGGUCUGAGAGGAUGAACGGUUCACAUGGGGAUUGAGCACACGCCCCAGUCUCUUACGGGAGCCACCAGUGGGGAUUCUUCGCCAUUGAAGGAAGUUCGGCCGAGAGCACCGCGGCGUGACGAAGGCCGCCUUUCGGUUGGUAAAGUUUUUAUUCCGGAAGAAUUGGCUAGCCGUCCAUUCCCGGUUCGAAUGACGGUUCCGUUAGAGAAAGCCACGGCUAACUACGUGCCCAGCAGCCGCGGUAAUACGUAGGUGGCAAAGCGUUGUCCGGAAAUAUUGGGCGUAAAGGGGCGCGCAGGCGGCGUCGUAAGUCGGUCUUAAAAGUGCGGGGCUUAACCCCGUGAGGGGACCGAAACUGCGAUGCUAGAGUAUCGGAGAGGAAAGCGGAAUUCCUAGUGUAGCGGUGAAAUGCGUAGAUAUUAGGAGGAACACCAGUGGCGAAAGCGGCUUUCUGGACGACAACUGACGCUGAGGCGCGAAAGCCAGGGGAGCAAACGGGAUUAGAUACCCCGGUAGUCCACACUGUAAACGAUGAAUGCUAGGUGUAGGGGGUAUCGACCCCUUCUGUGCCGCAGUCAACACAAUA